rnacentral:lncRNA from 1 species
GCCAACGGCUUGUAAGUAUAUUAUGGUACCUGCAUGUUGAAUGUGAUCCCUAAAAAUUGAGCUAAUGCCCAAUGUACAUUACAUUUUAAUUGAGCUAGUGUCCAACGCCCAACUACUUUUUAAACAAUCUAUUGAUUUAGUCCCAUGGAGCGACGAAAUCCUAUGCUAAGAAGGAUCCCUGCUCUUGACCUAGUAACAGGGAUCCAACAUACCCAAACAAAUCAAUCGCAACUCACGUGCUUUACUUAUGCAUCACCUAAACAAAGCACACCUUAAGUCAACACAGGCCAUCACAAAUAAUAAGCUUCGGCAGUGGCGGAUCCAGCACUCCGGCCACGCGUGUUGG